AGUGAACGCUGGCGGCGUGCCUAAUACAUGCGAGUCGAACGGAGAUUCAGUAGCUUGCUAUUUAAUCUUAGUGGCGCACGGGUGAGUAAUAUAUAGCUAACUUGCCCAUUACUAAGGGACAACAGUUGGAAACGACUGCUAAUACCUUAUACUCCGUAUCUAUAUAAGUAGAUACGGGAAAGUUUUUCGGUAAUGGAUAGGGCUAUAUCGUAUCAGCUAGUUGGUAAGGUAAUGGCUUACCAAGGCUAUGACGCGUAACUGGUCUGAGAGGAUGAUCAGUCACACUGGAACUGAGACACGGUCCAGACUCCUACGGGAGGCAGCAGUAGGGAAUAUUGCUCAAUGGGGGAAACCCUGAAGCAGCAACGCCGCGUGGAGGAUGACACUUUUCGGAGCGUAAACUCCUUUUCUUGGGAAAGAAUUAUGACGGUACCCAAGGAAUAAGCACCGGCUAACUCCGUG
rnacentral:rRNA from 1 species